CUAUCUAUCAUGGUGUACAGAGGUAUCCAAGGCCUAAGGCCAGGGGCAGACAGUAAAGAAAGAAUUCCGGCUCAAUUAAUGACUUUACUCUCCUUAAUAAAGACGGGUUCAGUUACAGCUAUUAAUAAAUUACAGACCUAACCCUGCUCACCGUAAAUAACAGUUGGUCCGGGUGCUAGAUGCCCCAGACCCUGCGCUUAAACUUUAAAGACAGGAUCUCCACAGUCUUCAGUAAUGCAUAUAAAUCAAAGUGAAUGAAGCUGAAAUCUUACCCUGCAGUCGUUGUGACCCGAGUGCAGCCAGCCCCGAGUCCGUCUCUAGGGGGAACGCCAACAGCAACACAAUGGAAUAAAGGCAGCACACUCCUGGGUUUCAAAAAUUGAUCGCAUGUCUCCAGAACCGGCAUUGGCUGAAUGUAUCCCAGACUGCUUGUACACAAAAGAGUCCAGUUGCCCUGAAUAAAGGAGGUUGGAUCUGAAAUUAUUGCUUUAAAACCCUGAAGGGAAAGGAAGAGCCUCAGUGUAUUAAG